rnacentral:lncRNA from 1 species
UUAAAUAAGGGUAAAACAUGCAUAUGAUACAAUAUACAAUCAUCUCCGAGUCUUACAUAGGCUUACGAAAUCUCUUUUGCUAACCCGAGGUUGAAUUAGGACCUAAUUAUAAAGUUUGCAAAAUAUCAGGUUAACGUCGUGAUUUUAGGGGUUUCUCGUUGCGACGCAACUCAUUGACUAGGUCUCAGCGCGAUAUGAUUGUGUGUUUGCAAAUGGUCCAAAAUGGUACCAACAAGCUUCACCUAGAAAGCAGAUUCAUCUCAAUCAUUUCCUAUUUCAGCCAAAUAUACCAUUCCCAAAUCUACAUUUCUAACAUAUCUUACCAUAUAUGCAUUGAAAUACAUAAACAUACUUUUUUAAUUUAUGCAGUUAUGGAAAUUUCCAAACUUCUACUAAAUUAUCAUACGCAUACAUAUAUAGAUCACAAAUAUGACAACAUUUUAAGCAAUCCAACUAAGUGCCAAACUCUAAUACAAAAACCAAUCCAUUUGACCAUUCUCCAAUUACCAUUUUCUAACAUUAAAAACGAACAUGAUCACACAUUAUGUAAAAACCGAUUCAACUUAGGUACAUGUCAUAUAUUUAACAAAAUGAGACUACAAACAUUGUUGAGUCGAGGAUCACUGGUUGGAUGCUGGAUCACACUUCGGAACUUCAGGAUUUACUUAUACCUACACAUGGAGAAAACAAAUCGUACGCUAAGUAAUAAAGCUCAGUGGUAUUUCCAUGAUGCGAGUCAUUAUCAAGCUUAAAUCAAUUGCAUAUAUUCAAUUCAAGUUCAAUUCAUAGCCAAUUCUCAUGCAAUUUCAUGCCAAAAACUUCUAUUACCAUAUAAACAUGCAUAUAAUCAUUUUUACACAUCGAUUCACUAUGCAUUUACCCAAACUUACCAUUUCUCACUCAUUUCACAAACUGCUUAUGACUAGAGGUAUCCAUGGGCCGGGUCGGGCCCAGAAAAAAUUUUCGGCCCAUGUCCUAGCCCGGGCCCGGCCCAAAAUAUAGGCCUGAGAUUUUGCCCAGGCCCGCCCCGGGGAAAAAAUAUGAAACCCGAGCCCGGCCCGGCCCGUUUUUAAUUAAAAUUAAAAUUAAAAUUAAAAUAUUGAAUUUCAUGUUUUAUAGAUUAUGAUUAUAAACAGUUGUGCGUGUAUUAAUAAGGAGGCUGAUAUCUAAAAUUAAUCAUUGUUUAUAUAUAAUUUUAAACAUCAUUGAUUAAGCUACCAUCAAAUGAUGUGGUGUAUGAUUAAUGGAAAUUAAACAUAAUAAAUUGAAAAUUUUCAAAGGAAACUAGUACUAUGAAUGAUAAUAAUAAUCAAACUAAAAUUUUUAAUUUUAAACUAUAAGAAUUACAUGAACUAAUAGCAUAUUUUAAGGAAGAAAGUUGUUUCUAUAAAUUUUGGUGUUUUUAGCCGAAAUUCCUAAACACCAAAACAAAUUUCUUUCAUUGAAGACAGUGGCUUGGCAUGGAAAAAAAAAACAACCUUCAAACAAUUAGACAAAAUUAAGGUGAAUCAAAAAGACCAAAGGACAAUCACACAUCGGUACGCAACCCACAGCUCAUCAAACCCCAUAUCCAUACCCUAUUCCUUUGCUUAUAAUUUUAACUCUCCCCUAUUUUAAAGCUGACCAAAAAAGAACCCACUCUUUCAUCACUCUCCCCCUUCAUACUCUAAUGGUUCCAUUUUUUUCUUUUUCUUUGUUCAUAAAUCUAUGUCCAGGAAACUUGAAUCGGGGUUUUCCUGGAAAUUCACUCAUCUGAUCUAAACACACACACACAAAAGGGGGAUUUUGAGAAGUAGAACAGCCAUGGAGGUCGAAAGGUUUAGGGUUUACCUUAAAUACGAUUCUGUUGGAGAACCGAAGGUGGAUCGGUGGAGGUCUUAACGGUGGAGGUGGAUCGGUGAUUUAGAAUCGGUGGAGACAGACAGAUGGGGUUAGGGAUUUUAGAAGGCACAGGGUUAGGGAUUUUGGAAUUUUGAAGACAGACGGUCGACGUGGGAAAGUGAAAAAUAAAACUAAAAACUAAAAAGUUAAAGUUAAAACUAAAAUUAACUAUUAUAUUUUAAAAAUAAAAAAAAUAUAUUUAAUAUAUUUCGGGCCGGGCCGGGCCCGGGCCAAAAUUUUUUUACCCGAGGCCCGGCCCAUUUUCUAAACGGGCCUCAUUUUUUGCCCAAGCCCAUAUUUCAGGCCUAUAUUUUUACCCGAACCCUCCCAUAUUCCGGGCGGGCCAUCGGGCCGGGCCAGGCCGCCCGACCCAUGGACAGGUCUACUUAUGACACAUUUGGUUCAUUUAAUGGAAUAAGGGUGUAAUGGGAUAACCAUUAUGUGAAAAAGGAAUAGGGCUGUAAUGGAAUUGAAUAGGCAUAAUAGUGAUUUGGUUGGAUGGAUGGAAUGAGUAUUAUAAUAGUAUUCAUGCAUUUGGUUGAGAGGAAUAGAUAUGGAAUAAAUCACAAAUGAUAAUUUUACCUUUAGAAAUAAAAAAAUAUUUUAAAUAUAUUAUACUAUAUUGUAAAAAUAUUUAAAUUGAAUUAUAUUUUUCAUUAAAUUAAAUAAUUACUAAUAAUAAAAAAUAUAAUUAAAUAAUAAUUUAUAUAAUAAUUUUUUAUUUUUAAUAUUAAUUAUAUAAAUGUUUUGAUAAAAAUAUUAUAUAAAUAC